rnacentral:rRNA from 1 species
UACAGAGGAUGCAAGCGUUAUCCGGAAUGAUUGGGCGUAAAGCGUCUGUAGGUGGCUUUUUAAGUCCGCCGUCAAAUCCCAGGGCUCAACUCUGGACAGGCGGUGGAAACUACCAAGCUGGAGUACGGUAGGGGCAGAGGGAAUUUCCGGUGGAGCGGUGAAAUGCGUAGAGAUCGGAAGGAACACCAGUGGCGAAGGCGGCUACCUGGACAAAUACUGACGCUGAGGCGCGAAAGCGUGGGGAUCAAACAGG